rnacentral:rRNA from 1 species
GAUGAACGCUAGCGAUAGGCCUAACACAUGCAAGUCGAGGGGCAUCACAUGAAGUAGCAAUACGGAUGGUGGCGACCGGCGCACGGGUGAGUAACACGUAUGCAACCUGCCUUCAACAAGGGGAUAACCCGUUGAAAGACGGACUAAUACCCUAUAACACAGGGGUCCCGCAUGGGAAUAUUUGUUAAAGGACAACCGGUUGAAGAUGGGCAUGCGUUCCAUUAGCUAGUUGGCGGGGUAACGGCCCACCAAGGCAACGAUGGAUAGGGGAACUGAGAGGUUUAUCCCCCACACUGGUACUGAGACACGGACCAGACUCCUACGGGAGGCAGCAGUGAGGAAUAUUGGUCAAUGGACGCAAGUCUGAACCAGCCACGUCGCGUGAAGGAAGACGGCCCUACGGGUUGUAAACUUCUUUUAUACGGGAAUAAAGUGCCCCACGCGUGGGGUUUUGCAUGUACCGUAUGAAUAGGAUCGGCUAACUCCGUGUCAGCAGCCGCGGUAAAU